rnacentral:rRNA from 1 species
GAUGAACGCUAGCGGGAGGCUUAACACAUGCAAGUCGAGGGGCAGCAUAGGGUAGCAAUACUCUGAUGGCGACCGGCAAACGGGUGAGUAACGCGUAUGCAACCUACCCUGUACAGGGGGAUAACCCGGAGAAAUUCGGACUAAUAUCCCGUAAUAAUAUCCGGAGGCAUCUUUGGAUAUUUAAAGUUCCGACGGUACGGGAUGGGCAUGCGUAACAUUAGCUGGUUGGUAAGGUAACGGCUUACCAAGGCUAUGAUGUUUAGGGGUCCUGAGAGGGUGGUCCCCCACACUGGUACUGAGACACGGACCAGACUCCUACGGGAGGCAGCAGUGAGGAAUAUUGGUCAAUGGGCGCAAGCCUGAACCAGCCAUCCCGCGUGCAGGAAGACGGCCCUAUGGGUUGUAAACUGCUUUUCCAGGGAGAGAAACUUACGCACGUGUUGCGUGACUGACGGUACCCUGGGAAUAAGCAUCGGCUAACUCCGUGCCGGCAGCCGCGGUAAACAUACUCGUA